CGGGGGAGGGGGACCGGGGGAGGCGGGGCCUUCUCGGCCCUUGGCGCUGCUCCCCCGAGGCACCUGCGGAGUUGUACGUUCUCCGGUAGCAGUGCUGCGUGACGACGUGGGAAGAAGUCACAGAGAUCCUGUUAUAGACGUUCCAA